UGGGAGGUGGUGUAACGGUAGCACUGCGGAAUUUGGAUCCGCCGAUCCUGGUUCGAAUCCAGGCCUCCCAGCCA
rnacentral:tRNA from 1 species